GUUUAAGUGGUUAGUAGACUUGUGAUUUAUGCAUCCUUGAAUGUGUUAGCCAACGGGAUUUGAUGUUUAAAGCAUGACUAACAUAGGGAUUAUUAUCACGGGAGUGGAUUAAUCUAUUUUGAAUGAGAUCUAGACCUAUAGACUUGUUGAUUGUUUUUUUUGAACAUCCUAGAUUGAACUUUGAUCACCUUAUAUCAAUUAUCAUUGCCCAUGGAUCCAUCU
rnacentral:lncRNA from 1 species